CAGCAGCCGCGGGAAUACAGAGGGUGCAAGCGUUAAUCGGAAUUACUGGGCGUAAAGCGUGCGUAGGCGGCUUCUUAAGUCGGAUGUGAAAUCCCUGAGCUUAACUUAGGAAUUGCAUUCGAUACUGGGAAGCUAGAGUAUGGGAGAGGAUGGUAGAAUUCCAGGUGUAGCGGUGAAAUGCGUAGAGAUCUGGAGGAAUACCGAUGGCGAAGGCAGCCAUCUGGCCUAAUACUGACGCUGAGGUACGAAAGCAUGGGGAGCAAACAGGAUUAGAUACCCCAGUAGUCCCUGUCUCUUAUAC
rnacentral:rRNA from 1 species